rnacentral:tRNA from 1 species
GGAGGGUGUCCGAGUGGCUUAAGGAAGCGGUCUUGAAAACUGCUGGGUUCAUUUAAUAAGAGUUCCGUGGGUUUAAAUCCCACUUCAUCCU